CCCAAAGAAAAAAAAAAAAAAAGGGAGGUAAAGCCGUGUUCUCCACUUCUCCCCGAGCCACAGCUUCGAGACCUCGACUGCUUCGAGUUCUCUCCUCUCUUCGCCUCCUCAGUCCUCGCCUAUUUUUCACUAAUCGGAAAUAUCAGACUAUCAGAGUAUCAGACCCUCCGCAGCCGGCGGCUCCGCCUUUUCUUCUCCAAUCUCCACCUCUCCCUUCCGUUGCCCGAUCUAAUGCCCAACUGCCCAAGAUUUGCAGAGAUUCUUGGCUUCUUGCAGAGUUGCAGACUGGAGUGACCGAGUGAUUGGCUAAUUGCCUGGGUUUCUGGAAGAGUUCUGGCCCUCCAUGGCUCCAUGAAUUUGGUGUGUGAUCCUCCUUGUCGGUCGAUCUCCGCGACUCCGCCGUUGAUCGACGGUGAGAGAUAGGGGAAUUGAGCUGAGGGAGUGAAAUCGGAGUCAUGUUGGAUCUUAAUCUCAACGUGGUGGGAUCGUCGUCGAAACAAAAUGACGUCUUCGUCGUCGGUUCGGUUCAAGGUAUGUUUCCGGAAGGCUCGGGCAGCGCGACGCAAAUGGACGAGUCCGGGACGUCGAACUCGUCCGUAGUCAAUGCCGACGCCUCCAGCACCAAUGACGACUCGUGCUCCGCACGCGCCUCGGUGACGACGUUCAAUUUCGAUAUUCUCAAGGUCGGUGGAGAAGAAGGAGAAGAAGAAGAAGACGACGACGUCGUUGUGACGAAGGAGCUGUUUCCAGUGAACAGUUGGCUGAGGAAGGGUGAAGAAGAGCAUGAGAGAGCCCAGGUCUCGGAGUUCUCAAUACAGAGGGGUCACUUUCUAUAGAAGAACUGGUAGAUGUUUGGGAUUGUGGCAAACAAGGACUUAAAACAAAAAUGGUUACUAAGCUAUAGUACAGUCAAAACCUCAUCUUGAAAGAACCCAGAAAGGCAGAAACUGCCGAAGAAGAUUGGUAUGAAGCGGGGAAGUUUUCAUCGCCUCGUUGGCUUGUUUCUUUAGCUGGGAACAAGAAAAGGGACUCAUUUUUAUCUUUCGACUGCAGAUUUUCGAUUAGUACUCGCAUUUGCUCCUUUGAAGUUUGCAUCAUUCCCACAAAUGACGCAGCAACUUUGUUUAACGAAGCACCUAAAUCAUCAUCUUGUCUUCUGCUAUU